rnacentral:misc_RNA from 1 species
AGGGGUCCCCCGGAGACGCUGGGCUGUCCAUCAUUGGUCCCCGCGGCCCCCCUGGUCAACCAGGAACUAGAGGUUUCCCUGGAUUUCCGGGUCCCAUUGGGCUGGACGGCAAACCGGGCCACCCAGGACCAAAGGGCGACAUGGGUCUGACGGGUCCCCCAGGACAGCCGGGACCCCAGGGACAAAAAGGAGAAAAGGGUCAGUGUGGAGAGUACCCACACCGGGGCGAACAG